UCUAGAUUAUGCUCUCAGAAGACUUUAGCUAGAGUAUGUUGUUCAGUUGUGUUCUGUGCCACAAGAAAGAAGGGGAUAAACUGGAAGAAGUCCAGAGGAACAGCAAUUAGCAAUCUAGACGGCAUGCUGCUGGCAAGCACUGUGCAAGGGUCCACAUUGCAAAUGUACCUCCGUCCUGACCUGCAGCACCUCUGCUAUUCCCGUUUCCCAUCUCUCUGGAACAGAGCCUGCCAGUCCCGUGGCUCUGUGCCAAAUGGACUCCUGUUUUUCUGAAGUACGCAGCACCUGGAAUGAAGUUGGAAAGUACAUUUGGACUCCAAAGCCUGGAACGGUUAGUUUUGCUACUGUGCAAUGGAGGUGGCUGGGUGUCGGGGUAUGGACUUUUUUCAGGUGAAUUGUUUUUUACAGGGACUAUGUGUUUUACAUGUUCUCGCCUGGAUUUUGCCCCAGGGUGAACCCAAAUGAGGAAGAGAGGAGCCCUGCUUAUGCUGUUGUUCCAGCACAGGUGUCUGGGAGGGAGCCCUUGACAGAUGGAAGGAAAUUCCUGUACCUAGAGAUGAAGGUGGCAUCCCUGCUCCAUGCUGAAUCUCUGUUGGAGAGACCUGUCAUGGAAGGUAAUUUUAUACCUGGUUAUCUGAAAACCACACCCCACCAUUCUCUUUUCUCCUAUGACACCGUUUAUAUGCUACCUUAUCAAACAGAGAGCAGUCUUGGUUUCAACCUCAAUUAUAAAUAAGCUGAAUUUUGGAACAUGUGCACAUGAAGAAGACCCCCUUCACAGCAAGCUUUUCCUAAAAUCAAAUGUUUGCUCAGAUGAGCUGGCUAUCUGAAUGCUGGGAUGGGGGAUCAUUUGACCAUUUGUAUAUAUAAAUGAGAUUCUGUGAUGCAGUGUUUUCGCACAUGUAUAGGCAUGGCCUGUUGAGAUGCACAGACUAUAACUAACUUCAUCUAUAAAAGUAAUUGCAUUGACAUCAGUGGGACUAACUGCAAUGCAUAAAGACAAGUAUAUACAUGAAGUCCUUGCAGGCUGAAGGUCUCAGCGUCUAACUUAAAGAUUCCAUUUUUCAAAGACUUAACUGGAGCUGUAUUCUGCCUGUAUCAAUACAGUGCUUUUCUGCUGCGUUCUCGUCAUUUAGAAUAGAAUUUUGUUUUAAAAAAACAAACAGCUCUAUGCAUCCUGAAAAGCCUAAUGUCCGGGAAUAAACUAUAAAUUGUGUGGUUUUUUUUUUUUCUC
rnacentral:lncRNA from 1 species